CUUAACUGCUGAAGAGCUCAAAGCCAAAUUUCUUCAUGGUUCCACUGAUGAUAUAGGUCAAUGCAUUUGAAAUAUAAUUCAUUCUGAAGUACUUGGAGGUGAUUCAAAUGAGAGAGUCACACAAUACUGACUGACCUGUUGAGUUUCACCAGCACUUUGUAUGUGUUGGUCUGUUAAAUUUGCUGAUUGCUGUUGGUGCCCCACCCAUCCAGAGAAUUUGGUGGCCCUAUACAUUGAGGCACACUGCCACUCUCUGAAGACAAUUCCAAUUUGCCUGACGUUGCACACUGUCAGGAUUGAUACCAUCUCCGCAUUUCUCACUACAGCUGACCGUGAGUGACUGACGCAGAAAGCAAGAGUGACAUGAUUGUUGGUUUGAGAAGAGGGACGAACGAGAACAGCCAAGGAUAUUAUGACAUUCCCUGCUGUCGUAAGGUUUGCUUUUCAAACAACAGGUUUCAGUGUUAAAUUAUAUAGCGUAAAUGGUGGUAGGUAAUGACAACUUGCCUUGAUGUGAUUAGAAAGUCUUCAGCCCACAAUGUUGUGGCAACUUUUAAACCUAGAACAGACGCACUAUGAUAAGCAUCACUGGCUGGUAUAGAGCGAUCACUGCAAAUAUGAGAAAAAGCUGCAGAGUGUUGCAAACUCAGCCAGCUCCAACACGGACACUUACUUCCCCAGCAUUGGGGACCUCUUCAAAAGGUGAUGCCUCUAAACAGCAGCAUCCAUCAGUAAGGGCGCCCAUCACCCAGGUGCAUGCUCUCUUCCUAUUACUACCAACGGAGGCGAGGUACAGGAGCUGGACGGCACAUGCUCAACAUUAUAGGAACAGUGUUUACCCCUUCACCAUCAGAUUUCCGAAUGGAAAAUUAACACUACCUCAGUAUGUUUGCUCUUGUUUUGUACUACAUGCUUAAUUUAAAAAUUUUAAUGAAUUUUUCUAAUCACAACUUAAAUUUUUUUAUGUAUUAUACUGUAUUGCUGUUGCAAAACAAUAAAUUUCAUGACAUAUUGUAUGUCAGUGAUAUUAAACCUGAUUCUGAGAUCAAUCUAACACUUCCCUCCCAUUUAACCAUCUAUUUUUCUUUCAUCCAUGUACCUAUCUAAGAGUCUCUUAAAUCUCCCUAAUGUAUCCAAGUCUACCACCACCCUGACAGUAUGUUCCAUACCCCCAUAACUCUCUGUUUGAAAAAUUACCUCUAACAGCUAGCGUUUCCUCUAACUUUUAAACAUUACUCCGAGCAAGACAUUUUAGCACUGCCUGAAAACUGUGCAGUACCUUAAAUGUUUUUUUUUGCAAUACACACAUAAAAAAAACACAAACCACAAUUUGCAACACAAGUAAAUGGUGUAAAUGGUGUUAGGCAAUCAAAACAACUGACAAGCACAAUGGAAAAAGUAAAAUGCUUUGACUAGAUGGCGCUGGCAUUCAGCAGAUCAGCGGUUUAUUAACAACGAACUACCAACCCAUUCUGUUUAUUGCUUCAAUUUAUAACUGUAUUGUAACUUGAAAUAAUGACAACAUAAAUACAUUGAAGCUCUAAAGGGUUUCACAGUAAAGGCUGUGGUACAUUUAUAUAGGAACAGCUUCUUCCACUCUGCCACCAGUUUCCUAAAUGGUCAUUGAACCCAUGAAUACCACUUCAC